rnacentral:rRNA from 1 species
GUUUGAUCAUGGCUCAGAACGAACGCUGGCGGCAUGCCUAACACAUGCAAGUCGAACGAAGGCUUCGGCCUUAGUGGCGCACGGGUGCGUAACGCGUGGGAACCUGCCCCUCGGUUCGGAAUAACAGUUAGAAAUGACUGCUAAUACCGGAUGAUGACUUCGGUCCAAAGAUUUAUCGCCGAGGGAUGGGCCCGCGUAGGAUUAGCUAGUUGGUGGGGUAAAGGCCUACCAAGGCGACGAUCCUUAGCUGGUCUGAGAGGAUGAUCAGCCACACUGGGACUGAGACACGGCCCAGACUCCUACGGGAGGCAGCAGUGGGGAAUAUUGGACAAUGGGCGAAAGCCUGAUCCAGCAAUGCCGCGUGAGUGAUGAAGGCCUUAGGGUUGUAAAGCUCUUUUACCAGGGAUGAUAAUGACAGUACCUGGAGAAUAAGCUCCGGCUAACUCCGUG